CGCUGGCGGCAGGCCUAACACAUGCAAGUCGAACGGUAACAGGAAGAAGCUUGCUUCUUUGCUGACGAGUGGCGGACGGGUGAGUAAUGUCUGGGAAACUGCCUGAUGGAGGGGGAUAACUACUGGAAACGGUAGCUAAUACCGCAUAACGUCGCAAGACCAAAGAGGGGGACCUUCGGGCCUCUUGCCAUCGGAUGUGCCCAGAUGGGAUUAGCUUGUUGGUGGGGUAACGGCUCACCAAGGCGACGAUCCCUAGCUGGUCUGAGAGGAUGACCAGCCACACUGGAACUGAGACACGGUCCAGACUCCUACGGGAGGCAGCAGUGGGGAAUAUUGCACAAUGGGCGCAAGCCUGAUGCAGCCAUGCCGCGUGUAUGAAGAAGGCCUUCGGGUUGUAAAGUACUUUCAGCGGGGAGGAAGGGAGUAAAGUUAAUACCUUUGCUCAUUGACGUUACCCGCAGAAGAAGCACCGGCUAACUCCGUGCCAGCAGCCGCGGUAAUACGGAGGGUGCAAGCGUUAAUCGGAAUUACUGGGCGUAAAGCGCACGCAGGCGGUUUGUUAAGUCAGAUGUGAAAUCCCCGGGCUCAACCUGGGAACUGCAUCUGAUACUGGCAAGCUUGAGUCUCGUAGAGGGGGGUAGAAUUCCAGGUGUAGCGGUGAAAUGCGUAGAGAUCUGGAGGAAUACCGGUGGCGAAGGCGGCCCCCUGGACGAAGACUGACGCUCAGGUGCGAAAGCGUGGGGAGCAAACAGGAUUAGAUACCCUGGUAGUCCACGCCGUAAACGAUGUCGACUUGGAGGUUGUGCCCUUGAGGCGUGGCUUCCGGAGCUAACGCGUUAAGUCGACCACCUGGGGAGUACGGCCGCAAGGUUAAAACUCAAAUGAAUUGACGGGGGCCCGCACAAGCGGUGGAGCAUGUGGUUUAAUUCGAUGCAACGCGAAGAACCUUACCUGGUCUUGACAUCCACGGAAGUUUUCAGAGAUGAGAAUGUGCCUUCGGGAACCGUGAGACAGGUGCUGCAUGGCUGUCGUCAGCUCGUGUUGUGAAAUGUUGGGUUAAGUCCCGCAACGAGCGCAACCCUUAUCCUUUGUUGCCAGCGGUCCGGCCGGGAACUCAAAGGAGACUGCCAGUGAUAAACUGGAGGAAGGUGGGGAUGACGUCAAGUCAUCAUGGCCCUUACGACCAGGGCUACACACGUGCUACAAUGGCGCAUACAAAGAGAAGCGACCUCGCGAGAGCAAGCGGACCUCAUAAAGUGCGUCGUAGUCCGGAUUGGAGUCUGCAACUCGACUCCAUGAAGUCGGAAUCGCUAGUAAUCGUGGAUCAGAAUGCCACGGUGAAUACGUUCCCGGGCCUUGUACACACCGCCCGUCACACCAUGGGAGUGGGUUGCAAAAGAAGUAGGUAGCUUAACCUUCGGGAGGGCGCUUACCACUUUGUGAUUCAUGA
rnacentral:rRNA from 1 species